rnacentral:rRNA from 1 species
CAGGCUUAACACAUGCAAGUCGAGGGGCAGCAUCAUUAAAGCUUGCUUUGAUGGAUGGCGACCGGCGCACGGGUGAGUAACACGUAUCCAACCUGCCGACAACACUGGGAUAGCCUUUCGAAAGAAAGAUUAAUACCGGAUGGCAUAGUCUUCCCGCAUGGGAUGACUAUUAAAGAAUUUCGGUUGUCGAUGGGGAUGCGUUCCAUUAGGCAGUUGGCGGGGUAACGGCCCACCAAACCAACGAUGGAUAGGGGUUCUGAGAGGAAGGUCCCCCACAUUGGAACUGAGACACGGUCCAAACUCCUACGGGAGGCAGCAGUGAGGAAUAUUGGUCAAUGGGCGAGAGCCUGAACCAGCCAAGUAGCGUGAAGGAUGAAGGCUCUAUGGGUCGUAAACUUCUUUUAUAUGGGAAUAAAGUUUUCCACGUGUGGAAUUUUGUAUGUACCAUAUGAAUAAGGAUCGGCUAACUCCGUGCCAGCAGCCGCGGUAAUACGGAGGAUCCGAGCGUUAUCCGGAUUUAUUGGGUUUAAAGGGAGCGUAGGUGGAUUGUUAAGUCAGUUGUGAAAGUUUGCGGCUCAACCGUAAAAUUGCAGUUGAAACUGGCAGUCUUGAGUACAGUAGAGGUGGGCGGAAUUCGUGGUGUAGCGGUGAAAUGCUUAGAUAUCACGAAGAACUCCGAUUGCGAAGGCAGCUCACUAGACUGUCACUGACACUGAUGCUCGAAAGUGUGGGUAUCAAACAGGAUUAGAUACCCUGGUAGUCCACACAGUAAACGAUGAAUACUCGCUGUUUGCGAUAUACAGUAAGCGGCCAAGCGAAAGCAUUAAGUAUUCCACCUGGGGAGUACGCCGGCAACGGUGAAACUCAAAGGAAUUGACGGGGGCCCGCACAAGCGGAGGAACAUGUGGUUUAAUUCGAUGAUACGCGAGGAACCUUACCCGGGCUUAAAUUGCAACAGAAUAUAUUGGAAACAGUAUAGCCGUAAGGCUGUUGUGAAGGUGCUGCAUGGUUGUCGUCAGCUCGUGCCGUGAGGUGUUGGCUUAAGUGCCAUAACGAGCGCAACCCUUAUCUUUAGUUACUAACAGGUCAUGCUGAGGACUCUAGAGAGACUGCCGUCGUAAGAUGUGAGGAAGGUGGGGAUGACGUCAAAUCAGCACGGCCCUUACGUCCGGGGCUACACACGUGUUACAAUGGGGGGUACAGAAGGCGGCUACCUGGUGACAGGAUGCUAAUCCCAAAAACCUCUCUCAGUUCGGAUCGAAGUCUGCAACCCGACUUCGUGAAGCUGGAUUCGCUAGUAAUCGCGCAUCAGCCAUGGCGCGGUGAAUACGUUCCCGGGCCUUGUACACACCGCCCGUCAAGCCAUGAAAGCCGGGGGUACCUGAAGUACGUAACCGCAAGGAGCGUCCUAGGGUAAAACUGGUAAUUGGGGCUAAGUCAUAAC